AAUAGAUACCCAGGUAGUCCACGCCGUAAACGAUGAGUGCUAAGUGUUAGAGGGUUUCCGCCCUUUAGUGCUGCAGCAAACGCAUUAAGCACUCCGCCUGGGGAGUACGGUCGCAAGACUGAAACUCAAAGGAAUUGACGGGGGCCCGCACAAGCGGUGGAGCAUGUGGUUUAAUUCGAAGCAACGCGAAGAACCUUACCAGGUCUUGACAUCCUCUGACAACCCUAGAGAUAGGGCUUCCCCUUCGGGGGCAGAGUGACAGGUGGUGCAUGGUUGUCGUCAGCUCGUGUCGUGAGAUGUUGGGUUAAGUCCCGCAACGAGCGCAACCCUUGAUCUUAGUUGCCAGCAUUCAGUUGGGCACUCUAAGGUGACUGCCGGUGACAAACCGGAGGAAGGUGGGGAUGACGUCAAAUCAUCAUGCCCCUUAUGACCUGGGCUACACACGUGCUACAAUGGGCAGAACAAAGAGCAGCGAAGCCGCGAGGCUAAGCCAAUCCCACAAAUCUGUUCUCAGUUCGG
rnacentral:rRNA from 1 species